AGUGAACGCUGGCGGUAGGCCUAACACAUGCAAGUCGAACGGCAGCACAGAGGAGCUUGCUCCUUGGGUGGCGAGUGGCGGACGGGUGAGGAAUACAUCGGAAUCUACUCUGUCGUGGGGGAUAACGUAGGGAAACUUACGCUAAUACCGCAUACGACCUACGGGUGAAAGCAGGGGACCUUCGGACCUUGCGCGAUUGAAUGAGCCGAUGUCGGAUUAGCUAGUUGGCGGGGUAAAGGACCACCAAGGCGACGACCCGUAGCUGGUCUGAGAGGAUGAUCAGCCACACUGGAACUGAGACACGGUCCAGACUCCUACGGGAGGCAGCAGUGGGGAAUAUUGGACAAUGGGCGCAAGCCUGAUCCAGCCAUACCGCGUGGGUGAAGAAGGCCUUCGGGUUGUAAAGCCCUUUUGUUGGGAAAGAAAUCCAUCUGGUUAAUACCCGGGUGGGAUGACGGUACCCAAAGAAUAAGCACCGGCUAACUUCGUGCCAGCCGCCGCGGUAA
rnacentral:rRNA from 1 species